GACGUAGGGGGCCAGCGUUGUUCGGAAUUACUGGGUGUAAAGGGUUCGUAGGCGGUGCGGCAAGUCGGGAGUGAAAUCUCUGGGCUCAACCCAGAGGCUGCUUCCGAAACUGCUGUGCUUGAGUGUGGGAGAGGCGCGUGGAAUUGCAGGUGUAGCGGUGAAAUGCGUAGAUAUCAGGAAGAACACCCGUGGCUAAGGCGGCUCUCUAGUACGGUACUGACGCUGAGACGCGAAAGCGUGGGGAGCGAACAGG
rnacentral:rRNA from 1 species